UGGGGAAUAUUGCGCAAUGGGGGAAACCCUGACGCAGCAACGCCGCGUGAAGGAAGAAGGCCUUCGGGUCGUAAACUUUUGUCUUCAGGGAAGAAAAAAAUGACGGUACCUGAAGAGGAAGCCACGGCUAACUACGUGCCAGCAGCCGCGGUAAUACGUAGGUGGCAAGCGUUGUCCGGAUUUACUGGGUGUAAAGGGCGUGUAGGCGGGAUGGUAAGUCAGGUGUGAAAUUCCAAGGCUCAACCUUGGGGGUGCACUUGAAACUACUGUUCUUGAGUGUCGGAGAGGAAAGCGGAAUUCCUAGUGUAGCGGUGAAAUGCGUAGAUAUUAGGAGGAACACCAGUGGCGAAGGCGGCUUUCUGGACGAUAACUGACGCUGAGGCGCGAAAGCGUGGGGAGCAAACAGG
rnacentral:rRNA from 2 species